rnacentral:rRNA from 1 species
AGCGAACGCUGGCGGCGUGCCUAACACAUGCCAGUCGAACGUGAAAAGGGAAACCUGAGUACAGUGGCGUACGGGUGAGUAACGCGUAGGUAAUCUACCCCAGAAUCUGGAAUAACCUGCCGAAAGGCGGGCUAAUACUGGAUAGAGCGAGGGAACUCGUAAGAGAGUUUUUCGGGAAAGGGAGCCCGCAAGGGCCUUCGUUCUGGGAUGAGCCUGCGUCUCAUUAGCUAGUUGGUAAGGUAACGGCUUACCAAGGCGAUGAUGAGUAGCUGGUCUGAGAGGAUGAUCAGCCACACUGGAACUGAAACACGGUCCAGACUCCUACGGGAGGCAGCAGUGGGGAAUCUUGCGCAAUGGACGAAAGUCUGACGCAGCCACGCCGCGUGAGUGAAGAAGGCCUUCGGGUUGUAAAGCUCUGUCGGAUGGGACGAACAUCUUCAUAGUGAAUAGCUAUGAGGACUGACGGUACCAUCAAAGGAAGCACCGGCUAACUCCGUG